rnacentral:lncRNA from 1 species
ACACUAUGUAAGGUACCGGACUUCUAAAACUAUGAAGUUACGGUGUAUAUUUAAAUGGUUCCGGUGAGGUUGCGGUGGAACGCAUAUCGGAUUUUAAAUAUAAAAGUGAAAAUAAAUAAAAAUAGUAUGAGAUACUAUUUUUAUUGGAUUUAGAGAAGUGAAAUAUAAGUUGAAAAUGACCUGUGCUGAAAUCGGAGCGAAAACAGAAGAUUUAGAAUUUUCUGUUAGAAACGGGGCAGAUAAAUUAGCAGAAAAUACACAGUGUCAAAAAAUUAUGAAAAUUGGCGGAGAUGUCAGAAAUAUUUUUAUGAGGCUAGAUUUAAAGUUUCAUAUUUUUCUGACACCCGUAGAGUGAGAAAUAAAAUCCGAGGGUUAUCUAAUAAAGAUUACAGUUCGGCACAGUUUUCGGUGACCAAAUGGGGUCGAAACUGAAAACUUAAAAUAUAUUCUUACUCAGUACGUUAAACUGAGCCUGCCUGUCAAAUUUGAGCCCAAACGGACAUUCAGAAGGACUCCAACUGUUCCGAACUGCUAAACUGCC